UUGAACGCUGGCGGCAGGCCUAACACAUGCAAGUCGAGCGGUAACAGAAAGUAGCUUGCUACUUUGCUGACGAGCGGCGGACGGGUGAGUAAUGCUUGGGAACAUGCCUUGAGGUGGGGGACAACAGUUGGAAACGACUGCUAAUACCGCAUAAUGUCUACGGACCAAAGGGGGCUUCGGCUCUCGCCUUUAGAUUGGCCCAAGUGGGAUUAGCUAGUUGGUGAGGUAAUGGCUCACCAAGGCAACGAUCCCUAGCUGGUUUGAGAGGAUGAUCAGCCACACUGGAACUGAGUCACGGUCCAGACUCCUACGGGAGGCAGCAGUGGGGAAUAUUGCACAAUGGGCGAAAGCCUGAUGCAGCCAUGCCGCGUGUGUGAAGAAGGCCUUCGGGUUGUAAAGCACUUUCAGUCAGGAGGAAAGGGUGUGAGUUAAUACCUCACAUCUGUGACGUUACUGACAGAAGAAGCACCGGCUAACUCCGUGCCAGCAGCCGCGGUAAUACGGAGGGUGCGAGCGUUAAUCGGAAUUACUGGGCGUAAAGCGUACGCAGGCGGUUUGUUAAGCGAGAUGUGAAAGCCCCGGGCUCAACCUGGGAACUGCAUUUCGAACUGGCAAACUAGAGUGUGAUAGAGGGUGGUAGAAUUUCAGGUGUAGCGGUGAAAUGCGUAGAGAUCUGAAGGAAUACCGAUGGCGAAGGCAGCCACCUGGGUCAACACUGACGCUCAUGUACGAAAGCGUGGGGAGCAAACGGGAUUAGAUACCCCGGUAGUCCACGCCGUAAACGAUGUCUACUAGAAGCUCGGAACCUCGGUUCUGUUUUUCAAAGCUAACGCAUUAAGUAGACCGCCUGGGGAGUACGGCCGCAAGGUUAAAACUCAAAUGAAUUGACGGGGGCCCGCACAAGCGGUGGAGCAUGUGGUUUAAUUCGAUGCAACGCGAAGAACCUUACCUACACUUGACAUACAGAGAACUUACCAGAGAUGGUUUGGUGCCUUCGGGAACUCUGAUACAGGUGCUGCAUGGCUGUCGUCAGCUCGUGUUGUGAGAUGUUGGGUUAAGUCCCGCAACGAGCGCAACCCCUAUCCUUAGUUGCUAGCAGGUAAUGCUGAGAACUCUAAGGAGACUGUCGGUGAUAAACCGGAGGAAGGUGGGGACGACGUCAAGUCAUCAUGGCCCUUACGUGUAGGGCUACACACGUGCUACAAUGGCGCAUACAGAGUGCUGCGAACCUGCGAAGGUAAGCGAAUCACUUAAAGUGCGUCGUAGUCCGGAUUGGAGUCUGCAACUCGACUCCAUGAAGUCGGAAUCGCUAGUAAUCGCGUAUCAGAAUGACGCGGUGAAUACGUUCCCGGGCCUUGUACACACCGCCCGUCACACCAUGGGAGUGGGUUGCUCCAGAAGUAGAUAGUCUAACCCUCGGGAGGACGUUUACCACGGAGUGAUUCAUGACUGGGGUG
rnacentral:rRNA from 1 species